AACCCAUGGUGAGGGCACCUUUUCAAUAGAUCUUUGUAUCUCUCCCAUCAUAAAGUGCUUCUAAAUCCAUCUGCACAAAAGAAGAGAUAUCAUUCCUUAAUUU
rfam:Gossypium hirsutum cultivar TM-1 chromosome 12, whole genome shotgun sequence